UUUUUAUUUGCACAAUUACAGGGCUAAUUUAACCUUUUUUUAAAUAGGAAAAAAUUUAAACAAAGUUUUUCGAAACGGUGGCCAAUAUAAAUACGAAUUUUGCCGAUAUAAAAUUGUUAAUUUCAGGGGUCGAUUCGCGUUUUAAUAUUUGUUUUAUAUAUUUUAAAAAAGCGAUAAAAAAUAUAAUCGUUAUUAUCCAAUCCGGCGCCGCGCAAUUUACGUUUUUGGUUAUAAAAACGGAACCAAAGGCAAAUUGGGAUAUUAAGGAACCAAUCGCGGUUUUUAUUUUCGACGACGAUAAAUUUAAUAUUCCAUUUGGAUCCCCGGUACCUGCCGAAAAACCUGCGAUUCCAAAAAACCAUACGACAGGAACCGGUAAUUUGCUUAUAUAGCCGCCCAUCCAAAAACUCGUUGGGGACCUUUUGGUGGAAUAUGGGAUUAAAUACCUAAAAACCUACCCAUUUUCCAUCGAGGAAAACAGGGGUUUAUUAUAUUUAUAUGGCCGAGGGGAAAGGAAUAAAAAUAGCAGUAAAAUACCCAACGAUUUUGGAUUUUUUCCGUCCGUAUAUUCCAAAAAUAUAGCACCAUCGCUUUUAUAUAAUAAUUGGGGUUAUAUAAAUAUUACGGAAACUGUAUUUUGCCCGAAAUUUAAUUAUAAUUAUAUGUGGAAAUUUGUUAAUAAUUAUAAAAAAAAUAUGCAAAAUAUAUAUCCCAUUAUUUUACCCCAAAAUUUGGACGCCCUAAUUAAAAAAUUUUUCGGAAACCUUUCCACCGUUUGCGUUACCAAAUCCGCCAAACCUGUACCAAUCGCAGGGUUUACCGCAAAAUACGAAAUUAUAGGUGAAAAACGAAAACGAAAAAAUAUAAACGACGGUUCGGGACCCAAAAUCGUGCAUUAAAAACGUUCCACGUUGUUUCGCAAUAUUCAAAUUGCUGUAAUUUUUUGUAUUUUUGCCCUGGGCGAAAUUUGUUUAUAUAAAAAACGUAUUUCCGAUAUCGUUCCAACGUAUGGCGAAAUGCAAAAUUAGGGUUUUUUCAAUUUUUAAUUUUACCUUUUUUAAAGUUUUUCGGCGUUUAGAAAUAAUAUAUUACCAUUCCCCGUCCAGGGGACGCCGUUUUCGGUGGUUUGGCACCCGAUAGGCGGCAGGCGAAUUUUUUUUUCUAAUUUUAUAUUAAAAUUUAUAAAAAAAAAUAUAAAUGUAAUUCCGGGUUUGCAAUAUUUAACCAAUAUUACCGAUAUUAUGGGCAAUUAAAUGGCGGGGACGUCGGUAUAAUAUAUAUACGCCAAUAUUUUGGCUGGUUUUUAUUACGGCCAAUUAAACAGGGUUAUAGAUAAUUAUUGGAAUAUCCAUUAUACUUAUAUUAAGGCCCAGCAUUUUUUUAGGGAAUAAAUCCUUUUUUUACCUUUUCCUCCAGAAAUUGGCUGGAAUUGGUCGUUAAUUUGUUUUUAUAAAGCCAUUUUUUUCGUUUUACUGCUGUUAAUAACCAAAUAUAAAAUAUUAAAAACACCGAAUAUUAUUUUAUAUAUUGGAUAUAUAUAUAAUUUAAAUGGUAUAUGGUUUUUUUUUUUUUUUUUUUGCUAAUAUUAACCAAAUUUGUAACAAUAUUAUUACCGAAUUAAAUUUACAAUAAUCGGGUAUUAGCAAAUACAAAUAACGCAUACCAACCCCUAAUUUGGGACAUAUAAUCGAAUAUGGGAUCGACGAGCGUGUCGCCUAUAAUUAUUAGGCGCAAAUAUGGUUACGGAAAACAUUUAAUAAGGCGUAUAUAUUAUUAUAUGGGCCCAAAUUUGAAAAAAAGAGACAUAUUUUAAUUAAAUUGGUGGAAGUUUUAUAUUCGAAUUUAAUAAAGAAUGAAAAUCUCUGGUGGUCAAAAUUUUAUGGCCGUAAUCCCCAAAUUUCGGCCGAUAAUAUCCUCGACGUUAGAUUGCGAACCAAAUAUUAGGGUGCCAGGAAUAUUAUUUGCCGGCCCAUUAUUAAAUUUAUAUUAAUGCGAAAUUAUUAAAUAUAGGAAGGGUUUAAUAUAACCGAUUUUUUAAAUAAAUUUUUCGAUCCCAAAAACGAAAUUGUUUUGGAAAUAGCAGGGAGGGGUAUUAAUGCGUUUGUUUAUAAUAUUAAAGCCUUUUACAAUUUUGCUGAAAGGCGGUAUAUUAUUAUUAAUAUUUUUGGUAUUAUUUAGGCGUAAAUUUUGGGGAUUUGUAUUUUUUCUUUUCCUUUUCCCACGUUGAAAUUUGUUUUUUAAUAUAUUUUAAUUAAUGGGGUAAUUUAAUUACCUUUACCGCGGUCCACAAAAACCAGCACCUUUUAUAUUUUAUUAACCCCGGUAAAUUUAAAUAUUUUUUCGAUAAAACGAUAUAAUUUUUGGAGGUUAUUUCGCAUCGAUUAAACGUUUUCGAAAUUAACGGGAAAAUCCUCGUUGGUUUAAGGGAUUUUUUUUUUCCCCAGGCUUUCCCGACCCGAAACGUUUCCGAUUAUUAACCCAAACCCGUCCCACAAUCCAAUGGCCCAAUCCGUUUUCCAUCCCUGUCGAUAAAUUUUGUGCACAAAAAUCCAAUCGGUCCUCCAUUGGGGAAUAUAUAUUUUGGCAGCAAUUUUUUAAAUUGUAAAGGGUAAAAAAAUUAUCCUUUAUUUAACAUUCGUAUUUAUUAAAAUCCUGAAACAUUUUUUUAAUUAUAUCGUUAAUGGGUUUGAAAAAAGAUUGGCCUUAUAUAUUUAUAUUUUUUUAUUAUUAAUAAUAAUUUAAAUUUCUAAUUAUUAUUACGAAUUUUUUUAGCAGAUUAAAUGGUUGGUUUUUUGUUUUUUUGUUUUCGCAUUAACAAUAUGGGCUUUUUUGGGAGAAUAUCCUCGUACGUAGCUUUAGUGACGGGAGGAUAUAUUUCAACGUCCGACACGUAUUAAAUAACCGGUCGAAAUUUCUUUAUAUUGGUAUUAUAUAUAAUCCAACGUCCUUUUUUAACGCCGUUUUUUAACGUUUUAAUUUGGGCGAUUUGGUAAGCGAACCAUAAAUACCUUUUACGACGCUGAUUUUUUAUCGAUGGGGUUUUAAACGUUUUUUCGUUUUUUUCCAUAUUUUUAUUAACGUUAAAAUGGUCGGCCGGGAAGGUUAUUUCCAUUUAUAUAAAUUUUCGCAUUGCCCAAUUUUCGGGUAGCGGUUUUUGUUUAAUUGUGCGGGGAAAUUUGCUCGUUUCGUAUUUUUUGGGAUUUUCAAAACCCGCUGCAAAAAAUUCAAAUAUAAAAUUAAUAAAUUCCAAAAAAAUAAAACCUCGAAAUACGAUAUCGUUAAUCGUUUAACUUUAACCCCGCCCGGGUUUUUUAAGAUGGCCAUUUAACGUAAAAAUAUAAAUUUAACGUUGAAAUAAAAAAAUAUAUUUAAAUCCCCCAACCGUGGAAAAAUAAUUAUAUUUAUAUUUUUUACAAAUUGGAGAACUUUUUUAAAACGUUUGGAAAAGUCGACCACGUUAUUUUUGGCCUUCGUGGCGGUGGUAAUUGGAACAUUUUUAUUAUUAAUAUUGGACGGUUUUUGCGUUUUUAAAGUUUUUUGGGAUUUAGCCGAAACCGGUUCGUUUCCAAUUACGAUUUUCGGUAUGGGACUAUUUUUGGUCGAGGCGUUAAAUACUUUUAUAAAAA
rnacentral:sRNA from 1 species